CUAGUAGACAUUAUCUGAUUGCCCGUGCGGUUCCCGGGCUAGAAUAGGACCGCAGCCUCCCCCGGCUUGUCGUAAGAGGCGACUAACAGGGGUUGGGAGAUCCUUCUCUUCAUGCUCCCAACUUUCUCUGAGGCCAAGUUUCCUUCUUAUCUCUGGCUUGGUCCUCAAAUCUUUUGUCUUUUCUUUUAUUCUUCUUUCUUCAACUCCAUUUCGGAGUUCUUUCCUUCUUCUUUGUCGACCGACGGGCUCUAUUGAGCCUUGGGAGUACUCGCCCUGUGGAGAGGGGCUGAUUUGUGUCUCGCACUGCCGAUGGGACUCUUUGGUGCAUCGUCAAGGACAAGCCCCUCUGUGUCGUAGUCAGGAAGUGCAGCAAACUUCAAACAGCCAUUCGACCUUCAGUUCUCAUGAGGAUUUAGCAAAAUUUUAGUGCAUUGAGAUAUGCUGAUUGGUCUCUUGGUGUGUCGUCAGCGACCAGCUCCAUCAGGUCAUAGUCAGGGACUGCAGCAUGAUACAGUCACAAGACUCUGGGGAUUAUCUUCGACCUUCUACCCUCAAGAGAAUUUAACUUAGUGAGGGUUCAUCAGCAGCGUAUGUUGAGGUAGCCUCAACAUUCUCCUCUGGCAUACUCCUCCAUCUACUACUGGUCUGUCCUUCCCUGGCUUAAUAUAGUGUGGUUUGCAUACCGUUUGAGAUGCUACGUCCCAUGUGUCCAGGCCUACUGUGGGCUCCCGGCUCCGACCAACACCGACCUGAAUGGGGAUUAGUAAUUGGGGCUGACCUGGACCUAGGUGACCACUGCUGAUCCAUGCCGAGCAAACUGCUACAUCGCAGCUUCCUGUGGAAAUCUACAACCACCCUCCACCAUACACCUGGUUGCUUCUUUCUGCUAUUUAAUAGAGUUGUUUAAAGUAUACUCAAACAAGCAUUUAUUAUUGUAUAUUGAUGUAGUUGUGAUAAUAAAUAAAUAAUAUUUAUUGUUA